UACGUAGGGGGCAAGCGUUGUCCGGAUUUAUUGGGCGUAAAGAGCGUGUAGGCGGCUUGGUAGGUCCGCUGUGAAAACUCGAGGCUCAACCUCGAGAUGUCGGCGGAAACCACUUGGCUAGAGUCCGGAAGAGGAGAGUGGAAUUCCCGGUGUAGCGGUGAAAUGCGCAGAUAUCGGGAAGAACACCUAUGGCGAAGGCAGCUCUCUGGGACGGUACUGACGCUGAGGUGCGAAAGCGUGGGGAGCAAACAGG
rnacentral:rRNA from 1 species